GUUACAGCCUUGCUGAAUUAUUCACCCUUGUCUUUUGCGUACUUCUUGUUUCCUUGGUGGGUUCGCCCACCACUAGGACAAACAUAAACCUUUUGUAAUUGCAAUCAGCGUCAGUAACAAAUUAAUAAUUACAACUUUCAACAACGGAUCUCUUGGUUCUGGCAUCGAUGAAGAACGCAGCGAAAUGCGAUAAGUAGUGUGAAUUGCAGAAUUCAGUGAAUCAUCGAAUCUUUGAACGCACAUUGCGCCCUUUGGUAUUCCAAAGGGCAUGCCUGUUCGAGCGUCAUUUGUACCCUCAAGCUUUGCUUGGUGUUGGGCGUCUUGUCUCUAGCUUUGCUGGAGACUCGCCUUAAAGUAAUUGGCAGCCGGCCUACUGGUUUCGGAGCGCAGCACAAGUCGCACUCUCUAUCAGCAAAGGUCUAGCAUCCAUUAAGCCUUUUUUCAACUUUUGACCUCGGAUCAGGUAGGGAUACCCGCUGA
rnacentral:rRNA from 1 species